UAUUCAAAUUUUUUUUUUACAAUAUAUUAUUUUGACAGUGUAGUUGCUUUGGGGAUUUAUUUUCCAGAAUUCCUUCAAUCUAUAUACAAAUGAUCAGCCGAUUGGAGAAAUUUGUACAUUUUAACAUUUUGUAUGUGCUGGUGAUCUGGUCAUAAUAGCACAAGGUUACAAUAUGUAUAAUAUGGUUGUAUUAUGUAUAAAUACUAUAUUAUAUUAUACUCAUUUACUCUACAAAUAUGCAAUAAAACAAAAC